rfam:Cyanophage S-TIM5, complete genome.
GGGACUGUCGCCUAAAGGUAAAGGCCCUCUGCUUAUAACGGAGUGAUCUGGGUUCAAGUCCCAGCAGUCCUA